GUGUCAGCCGCCGCGGUAAGACAGAGGUUGCAAACGUUGUUCGGAAUCACUGGGCAUAAAGCGCACGUAGGCGGCUGACUAAGUCCGAUGUGAAAUCCCCCGGCUCAACCGGGGAACUGCGUCGGAUACUGGUCGGCUUGAGAACGGUAGGGGUGAGCGGAACUCCAGGUGGAGCGGUGAAAUGCGUAGAUAUCUGGAGGAACACCGGUGGCGAAAGCGGCUCACUGGACCGUCACUGACGCUGAGGUGCGAAAGCUAGGGUAGCAAACGGGAUUAGAAACCCUGGUAGUCC
rnacentral:rRNA from 1 species